rnacentral:lncRNA from 1 species
GGUAUUCUCGUUUGUUCACAAGUUUUUCCAAACUCAUACUUUUAUAUAUUUUAUAAAUAGAUUAUAGAUUUUAGAUAUAUCUGUAAAAUUAAUUAAAUGAUGAUUAAUUUAAAAUAAUAUCUAAUAUUAAUUAAUUAAUAUACUCUUGUGUAUAGGUAAAAUUCCAUUGUUAAGAGUCUGCUACCCUAGCACGUCUCUGUCUGCCUCUCUGGCAAGUUUAGGUUCUCAAAAGUUUUUAUUGGCCUGACGGCUUACAUCUCCAGUGUUUUGAAUAAUUCUCUUCGUUUGGUUUUCUCGUGUUACGCCCAUGGAAUCAAAUUUUGUUGGUCUAUCCCUUGAAGAUGAAGAAGAAGAAAUCCUGCAAGCACAAGGAGAUACAGAUUCGGUAAGUGAAGAAGAAGUUCUAAGUCUGGUUGGAUGUUUUCUUACAGCCAGUAUUAUCCAUUAUCCAGCAAUGAAAAGUACAAUGGCUAAUCUAUGGCAUCCGGUUAAGGGUGUUCAAAUUAGAGAUCUGGGGGAAAAGAGGUAUAUAUUUAAAUUUUUUCAUAUUGUGGAUAUGGAAAGAGUUAUAAAAGGGUCCCCUUGGACAUUUAAUAAUCAUCUAUUGGUUCUGCACAAGUUGCAAUGGGGAGAGGAUCCGCUAAAAGUUCCACUAAUUUCGUCACCUUUCUGGGUACAAAUCCAUGAUGUACCCUUUGGCUUUUAUUCUGAAAAUCUGGCCAGACAAUUAGGGAACUUCAUUGGAAUUUUUCAAGAGUAUGAUAGCUCUAGUUUGGGGAAAGAAAAUAUGAAUUUUAUGCGGAUCAGAGUUCAAAUUGAUAUUCGUCGUCAUCUCAAAAGGAAAAAACAAGUUAUGUUUAAGAAUAUAUGCUCUUAUGUUAGAUUUAAGUAUGAGAGAUUAACUCUCUUUUGCUUCUAAUGUGGCCAUCUAUGUCAUAAUGAAUCCUUUUGUGAAGCAAAGAUGGAGGCUGGGGUUGAAAUUGAUGAGAUGAGUUGGGAUCUGUCUUUGCGUGCACAGUCAAGAAGAGCCCAAGCAAUGAGUAGUGCCUGGUUAAGGGAGGAGGGAGAAUCUGUAGACAGAAAUAACUGAGAUGAAUUCAGGGGAAAUAUAGAGGGGAGGAAGGUAAGACAAUUUGAGAGUAUUCCUGAUCCUAUGUUAGGUUUUAACCUGGAAGGUAAUGGGAUCUCCCUUGGUAGAGAGAGAACAAGAAAGUUAAUUGAUAAUAAUCAAGUGGCGAUGGAGCAUGAUUUGGAGAAUGAGGUGGUUGUACGAGAGGAGGGGAAAAAGAGAAUAAGAGGGGAUAUUGAAGAAAGUAAUGAGAUGGGAGGGAGAAACGAGAGAAAGACGAAAGUCAACCAUUUGAUAUCGACGGCUGCCAAGAGGCAAGCCGACCGGUUGCAAUGAAAAUCUUAAGUUGGAACGUUUGAGGUUUGGGGAAUCUUCGGACAGUUCGACGACUUCGGCAUUCGCUGAAGCAACAGUAUCCUCAAAUGAUCUUCUUAAUGGAGACAAAAUUAAACAAAAAUAGGAUGGAAAAAAUACGAAGAAGCUGUGGGUUCCAGUGUGGAAUUGAUGUGGACUCGAUUGGUUCUAGAGGGGGGUUAAGUCUAGCAUGGAGAGAAGGUGUUAACAUUAAGCUCCAAAAUUUUUCAAAUCGACAUAUUGAUGUGGUUAUCGGAGACAGAGAAGAUAAUAGAAUAUGGAGCUUUACAGGUUUAUAUGGUUCUCCUUACUCACAUGACAGAGAUGAAGCAUGGAAUCUGUUGAGAUGAUUAUGGAAUUAUAGAGAAUACCCAUGGAUGGUUUAUUGAGAUUUUAACGAAAUCUUAUAUGGUUUCGAGAAAAAAAGGUGGAUUACCAAGGGAGGAAAAAAGAAUGGAAGCUUUUCAUCAAGCUUUAGAAGAUUACAACCUGGUUGAUUUGGGAUAUUCAGGUAGGUGGUUCACGUGGGAGAAAGGGAAUUUAUUUGAAACAAAUAUCCAGGAAAGACUUGAUAAAUGAGUUACAACGGAGCAAUGGAGCGCUUUAUUCCCAAAUGCUAUGAUUCGACACCUCCCACAUUUAUUCUCUGACCAUUGUCCACUUUUUUUGGAUACAGUUUGCAGAACUGAAAGGUUGGCAAAAAGAAAUUUCAAGUUUCAAGUGUGGUGGGUAUUGGAAGAAACAUUUUUGAGUGAAACUAAACAAAUUUUGGAAAACUCUACAGGAGAUUUUGUAAACAAGCUAAAAAACCUGAAAAGAGGUUUGGAGAGGUGGGGAGCUAAGAUUCAGCAGAAUAGAAAGAUGAAAACAAAGGUUUUGACUUCAAAACUGGCAACAUUACUUGAAUCUGAUAGAAGUGAUGAGAAUCUGAUAGAGAUUAUUAAUACAAAAAUCCACCUGAAUUUUGAGAUCGAAAAGGAGGAAAGUUAUUGGGAGCAGAAGGCCCGAAUUAAUUGGUUGAAACUUGGUGAUAGAAAUACAGCUUUUUUUCACAAGCAAGCGUCACAAAGGAGAAAACAAAAUCAAAUCCAUAGGUUGCAGCUCGAAGACAGAAGGGAGACAGAGGAGUGUAUGGAAAUGGAGGAAACCGCUAGAAUAUAUUUUCAAAAAUUAUUUACAUCAGAAGGAAAAAGAAAUUUUAAGAGGAUUCUGACAGGAAUUGAAAGAUGUAUUUUAGAGGAAGACAAUAAUAUUUUAAAGGCAAGAUACAUGAAGGAGGAGAUACUGGAAGCUCUUUCAGAAAUGGGUCCUUCAAAAGCUCCAAAAGAGGAUGGUUUUCCAGCCUUAUUUAGCAGAAGUGUUGGUCAAUUAUGGGAGAGAAUGUAUCUAAAUUUUGUCUCCAGAGGUUAAACGAAGGUAUGGAUUUACAUUCAAUUAAUAGGACAAACAUUGUGCUUAUCCCAAAAAUCUCUAAUCCCUCAAGGAUUACUCAAUUUAGACCAAUUAGCUUAUGUAAUGUGAUCUGCAAACUGAUAGCUAAAGUCAUUGCUAGAAGACUCCGGGGGGUGAUCCAUAAAUAUAUUGAUUUAGCAUAAAGUGCUUUUGUUCCAGGGAGACUGAUUUUCGAUAAUUUUCUUCUUGCUUAUGAAAUUCUACAUACUCUAAAACUCAAGAGGGUGGGGAAAAAAGGUUUCAUGGCUGUCAAACUGGACAUGAGUAAGGCAUAUGACAGGGUUGAAUAGGGUUUUGUGAAAGGGGUAAUGAAAAAUAUGGGUUUUGAUCCAUGAUGGGUGGAUUCAAUUUUAAAUUGUGUAUCAUCGGUCUCAUAUGAGGUGAUCGUCAAUAGAAACAUAGGGCAAAAGAUUAUUCCAUCAAGAGGCCUACGACAAGGAGAUCCUCUAAGUCCAUUCUUAUUUCUUUCUUGUGCAGAAGGAUUAUCGAGUCUAAUGAGGCUUGCAAAAGAAGAGAAUAUUCUUAAAGGAGUUAAAGUAAGCCGAAGAGGACCAGCUAUCUCCCAUUUACUCUUUGCAGAUGAUUGUAUUUUAUUUGCAGAAGCUACAGAAAGGGGUGCACAAUCUUUAAAAUGGAUACUACAGGAAUAUGAAUUGAACUCAGGGCAAUGUGUGAAUUAUGAAAAAUCGGUUGUCUUUUUUAGUUCAAAUACAGAAGAGGGGGUAAGGGGUGACGUAUCAACGAUUCUUCGAGUCAGAAGAGCAAUUGAUAUAGAACGAUAUCUAGGGCUGCCUAGUAUGGUAGAGAAGAGAAAGAAAUCAUCUUUUCAAAGUUUGAAGGACAGACUCAAACAAAGAAUUGAUAACUGGAGUACUAGGUUUCUCUCCCAAGGGGGAAAGGAAGUUUUUAUUAAAGCGGUCCUACAAGCUAUUCCAACUUAUUCGAUGUCUUGUUUUCUUCUCCCUAAGACCCUUUGCACAGAAUUGGAAAGAAUAGUUGCUAAUUUCUGGUGGCGGAAGAGAGGGGCUAAAAAAAGUAUUCAUUGGUGCACAUGAGAGAAUCCAUGCUUAUUAAAAGAGGAAGGUGGCCUUGGUUUCCAGAAUUUUACGAAAUUUAAUAUUGUACUAUUAGCGAAACAAGGUUGACGUCUUGUUAAUUACCCAAAAUUAUUAUUAGCUUGUGUUUUGAAAGUAAAGUAUUAUCCCAAUUCAGAUUUCUACAAAGCUAGGUUGGGAAAUUUACCUUCGCUUACCUGGAAAAGUGUUUGGACGGCUAAGGGUCUGCUCGAAAAAGGUCUUUGCUGGAGGGUGGGAAAAGGUAAUAAAAUUUCAAUACGAGAUGAUCUAUGGAUACCAGAAAACGAAAUGGUCAGAGUACCGAGGCAAGAAGUUAUUGGAAAUCUUGAAUUAGUUUCGGACUUAAUUAACCCAAGUAGCAGAAUGUGGAGAACAAAGGUAGUGCGAGAUACCUUCCAACCGGUUGUAGUAGAAAAAAUUUUGAAGAUCCCACUAGCGGAGAUGGAACAUGAAGACUUUCAAGUUUGGAGAGGGGAGCCGACCGGGGAGUUUUCAAUUAGGAGCGCCUAUAAACUAUUACAUGAAUCUACAUUGGAUCCUAAUGAUUUAAUAUUACAUACCGAAACUAUAAAUUUCUAUAGAAAGCUAUGGAAACUACAUAUCCCAUCGAAGAUCAAAAUGAUAAUAUGGAGGAUUUCAUGGAAUUUUAUCCCAUCCUUUUUCAACCUCAAAAUAAAAUAGGUAGUGGUGAAUACUCGAUGUCCAAGAUGCGAUAGUGAAGAAGAAAACAGCUGCCAUAUCUUUCAACAGUGCC